GGAUUGAGAGCUUGCUCUUAUGAAGUUAGCGGCGGACGGGUGAGUAACACGUGGGUAACCUGCCCAUAAGACUGGGAUAACUCCGGGAAACCGGGGCUAAUACCGGAUAACAUUUUGAACUGCAUGGUUCGAAAUUGAAAGGCGGCUUCGGCUGUCACUUAUGGAUGGACCCGCGUCGCAUUAGCUAGUUGGUGAGGUAACGGCUCACCAAGGCAACGAUGCGUAGCCGACCUGAGAGGGUGAUCGGCCACACUGGGACUGAGACACGGCCCAGACUCCUACGGGAGGCAGCAGUAGGGAAUCUUCCGCAAUGGACGAAAGUCUGACGGAGCAACGCCGCGUGAGUGAUGAAGGCUUUCGGGUCGUAAAACUCUGUUGUUAGGGAAGAACAAGUGCUAGUUGAAUAAGCUGGCACCUUGACGGUACCUAACCAGAAAGCCACGGCUAACUACGUGCCAGCAGCCGCGGUAAUACGUAGGUGGCAAGCGUUAUCCGGAAUUAUUGGGCGUAAAGCGCGCGCAGGUGGUUUCUUAAGUCUGAUGUGAAAGCCCACGGCUCAACCGUGGAGGGUCAUUGGAAACUGGGAGACUUGAGUGCAGA
rnacentral:rRNA from 2 species